GGGUAUCGCUCAAUGGUAGAGUGCCUGCUUAGCAUGCACAAGGUCCUAGGUUCAAUCCCUAGUACCUCCA
rnacentral:tRNA from 1 species